rnacentral:miRNA from 1 species
GGUGUGUGUGUGUGUGUGUGUGUGUGUAGACACACACACACAUAUACACACACACACACACACACACACAUA